rnacentral:rRNA from 1 species
UCCCAGACUCCUACGGGAGGCAGCAGUGAGGAAUAUUGGUCAAUGGGCGGAAGCCUGAACCAGCCAAGUCGCGUGAGGGACUAAGGCCCUGCGGGUCGUAAACCUCUUUUGCCGGGGAGCAGUGGUCCGGACGCGUCCGGACCGGGAGAGUACCCGGAGAAAAAGCAUCGGCUAACUCCGUGCCAGCAGCCGCGGUAAUACGGAGGAUGCGAGCGUUAUCCGGAUUUAUUGGGUUUAAAGGGUGCGUAGGCGGUCCGUUAGGUCAGCGGUAAAAUUGCGGGGCUCAACCCCGUCGAGCCGUUGAAACUGGCAGACUUGAGUUGGCGAGAAGUACGCGGAAUGCGCGGUGUAGCGGUGAAAUGCAUAGAUAUCGCGCAGAACUCCGAUUGCGAAGGCAGCGUACCGGCGCCAGACUGACGCUGAGGCACGAAAGCGUGGGGAUCGAACAGGAUUAGAUACCCCGGUAG